CCUACGGGGGGCAGCAGUGAGGAAUAUUGGUCAAUGGGCGGGAGCCUGAACCAGCCAAGCCGCGUGAGGGAAGAAGGUACAGCGUAUCGUAAACCUCUUUUGUCAGGGAACAAAGGCGGGGACUAGUCCCCGGAUGAGGGUACCUGAAGAAAAAGCAUCGGCUAACUACGUGCCAGCAGCCGCGGUAAUACGUAGGGGGCAAGCGUUAUCCGGAUUUACUGGGUGUAAAGGGAGCGUAGACGGUGAGACAAGUCUGAAGUGAAAGCCCGGGGCUCAACCCCGGGACUGCUUUGGAAACUGCCUGA
rnacentral:rRNA from 1 species